rnacentral:rRNA from 1 species
CUACGGGAGGCAGCAGUGAGGAAUAUUGGUCAAUGGGCGCGAGCCUGAACCAGCCAUCCCGUGUGCAGGAUGACGGCCCUAUGGGUUGUAAACUGCUUUUCUAUGCCAAGAAACCCUGUUACGAGUAACAGGUUGCCGGUAGCAUAGGAAUAAGCAUCGGCUAACUUCGUGCCAGCAGCCGCGGUAAUACGGGAGGAUGCAAGCGUUAUCCGGAUUCAUUGGGUUUAAAGGGUGCGCAGGUGGGGUUGUAAGUCAGGGGUGAAAUGCUGCCGCUUAACGGUAGAACUGCCAUUGAUACUGCGAGUCUUGAGUAUGGUUGAGGUAGGCGGAAUGUGUUGUGUAGCGGUGAAAUGCAUAGAUAUGACACAGAACGCCAAUUGCGAAGGCAGCUUACUAAGCCAUUACUGACGCUGAGGCACGAAAGCGUGGGGAGCGAACAGGAUUAGAUACCCCCGUAGUC